AUCUUCUCUGCAAAGAGUUUAACUUUUGACAUGUUAUGGAUCACAGCGAGGCUUAAUAAUACAUUGAAUACUGAUAGACAGUUAUGCUUAACAUUUUUGUAGAAACUUAAGUGACGCACUUUAGAAAGGCGAUUUUCGUCCAAAGCUCUUCUUAAACAUGGUCCGCUAACCUGACGUUAACGACCUUACCAUGUCUGCUGGUUAUAAACUAAUGCAGGGUGUAGUGUUUUUUAUUUGCUAUUACUGUGAAGCCUAUGCGUGCGUACAUACGCGCGGUUGUAGCCAGGGUUUUUGUGUGAGAUAGAAAGCGAAAUUAUGACUUUUGUAUCACAGUUUCGACUUAUUGUCUAAUAAUUGUCACCUUAAUCCAUACCUUUAACUGGCAACUCAUAAUUAAACUCUUUUAUCUCACAAUUGUGACUUUUUAUGUCUUACUUAUUUAUUUUUCCCCAUAGAUUUGCUGUUUCUUACAUCUCAUAACUACAACUAUUUCUCUAAUAAUUAUGACUCAGCAUGGGAAUGAAGCGUAAUGUUGAUAUUGUCCAUUGUACUUUAAUAAUAGUAUUACUUAUACUAUAUGCAUAUUAUAUUUAUUUAGUGUUUAAAACAAUUCCCGGUAAAGAAAACGAAAACUGGAGGAUGCGGGCAUCGAUCCCGCUACCUCUCGCAUGCUAAGCGAGCGCUCUACCAUCUGAGCUAAUCCCCCGUUGUAUACAUAGGUGCACCUAGCCUUGACAAAUAGAGUAUGAAUGGUCAUUCAUAAAAACUUCAGGAAUUGCAAAAAUGUUUAGGUCCAUGACGCCACAAUGUGACGUUUGCAUUUUUUGCUAAUUUAUUCUAGAGUCCUACAGAGAGAGAGAGAGAGAGUGGCGCCACCUUCGUUUAUUGCAGUGGUUCAGUUUUUUCACAGUAAUGGCGGAGCAUGGAGCCCCGCAAAUGUUCCCGGAAGUUAGCUUUCAUUAACUACCGUUCAGUGUAACUCUUAUGGAGCACACGGUCGGAGCAACACUUGACCAAGCAUGAUGGAAGCCUGCUGGAGAGUGUCAGAGCUUCCUUCUCCAACACACCCACUGCAUUUGGAAGCUCUGUGAGGGAGGAACCAGUCUUUGUCCUUCCCUUCCCUUGGUUUUUGCAUUGUUUUUCCUGUUCUGUGUUCUCUGUUUUUAAUUAAAAAAUCUUAAACUUC